GACGAACGCUGGCGGCGUGCCUAAUACAUGCAAGUUGAGCGCUGAAGGUUGGUACUUGUACCAACUGGAUGAGCAGCGAACGGGUGAGUAACGCGUGGGGAAUCUGCCUUUGAGCGGGGGACAACAUUUGGAAACGAAUGCUAAUACCGCAUAAAAACUUUAAACACAAGUUUUAAGUUUGAAAGAUGCAAUUGCAUCACUCAAAGAUGAUCCCGCGUUGUAUUAGCUAGUUGGUGAGGUAAAGGCUCACCAAGGCGAUGAUACAUAGCCGACCUGAGAGGGGAGUCGGCCACAUUGGGACGGAGACACGGCCCAAACUCCUACGGGAGGCAGCAGUAGGGAAUCUUCGGCAAUGGACGAAAGUCUGACCGAGCAACGCCGCGUGAGUGAAGAAGGUUUUCGGAUCGUAAAACUCUGUUGGUAGAGAAGAACGUUGGUGAGAGUGGAAAGCUCAUCAAGUGACGGUAACUACCCAGAAAGGGACGGCUAACUACGUG
rnacentral:rRNA from 1 species